rnacentral:rRNA from 1 species
UACGUAGGCAGCGAGCGUUGUUCGGAAUUACUGGGCGUAAAGAGUGUGUAGGCGGUGUUCCCAGUCUGUUGUGAAAUCUCCCGGCUUAACUGGGAGGGUGCAGCGGAAACUAGAAUGCUAGAGGGUGGGAGAGGUAAGCGGAAUUCCGAGUGUAGAGGUGAAAUUCGUAGAUAUUCGGAAGAACACCAGUGGCGAAGGCGACUUACUGGACACAUAUUGACGCUGAGGUGCGAAAGCGUGGGGAGCAAACAGG